AUUGAACGCUGGCGGCAGGCCUAACACAUGCAAGUCGAGCGAGCGGCGGACGGGUGAGUAAUGUAUGGGGAUCUGCCCGAUAGAGGGGGAUAACUACUGGAAACGGUGGCUAAUACCGCAUACUAUAGGAUGAACCCAGAUGGGAUUAGGUAGUAGGUGGGGUAAAGGCUCACCAAGGCGACGAUCUCUAGCUGGUCUGAGAGGAUGACCAGCCACACGGGGACUGAGACACGGCCCAGACUCCGACGGGAGGCAGCAGUGGGGAAUAUUGCGCAAUGGGCGCAAGCCUGAUGCAGCCAUGCCGCGGGUAUGAAGAAGGCCUUAGGGUUGUAAAGUUCUUUCAGCGGGGAGGCGUUACCCGCAGAAGAAGCACCGGCUAACUCCGUGCCAGCAGCCGCGGUAAUAC
rnacentral:rRNA from 1 species